rnacentral:rRNA from 1 species
AUUGAACGCUGGCGGCAGGACUAACACAUGCAAGUCGAGAGGAACGGCAGACGGAUGAGUAAUGCCUAGGAAUCUGCAGGGUAGUGGGGGAUAACGUCCGGACACGGGCGCUAAUACCGCAUACUAUCAGAUGAGCCUAGGUCGGAUUAGCUAGUUGGUGGGGUAAAGGCCUACCAAGGAGACGAUCCGUAACUGGUCUGAGAGGAUGAUCAGUCACACUGUAACUGAGACACGGUCCAGACUCCUACGGGAGGCAGCAGUGGGGAAUAUUGCACAAUGGGCGCAAGCCUGAUGCAGCCAUGCCGCGUGUGUGAAGAAGGCCUUCGGGUUGUAAAGCACUUUCAGCGGGGAGGCGUUACCCGCAGAAGAAGCACCGGCUAACUCCGUGCCAGCAGCCGCGGUAAUAC